GUUGGCGGCAGGCCUAACACAUGCAAGUCGAACGGUAACAGAAAGCAGCUUGCUGCUUUGCUGACGAGUGGCGGACGGGUGAGUAAUGUCUGGGAAACUGCCCGAUGGAGGGGGAUAACUACUGGAAACGGUAGCUAAUACCGCAUAACGUCGCAAGACCAAAGAGGGGGACCUUCGGGCCUCUUGCCAUCGGAUGUGCCCAGAUGGGAUUAGCUAGUAGGUGGGGUAAAGGCUCACCUAGGCGACGAUCCCUAGCUGGUCUGAGAGGAUGGCCAGCCACACUGGAACUGAGACACGGUCCAGACUCCUACGGGAGGCAGCAGUGGGGAAUAUUGCACAAUGGGCGCAAGCCUGAUGCAGCCAUGCCGCGUGUAUGAAGAAGGCCUUCGGGUUGUAAAGUACUUUCAGCGGGGAGGAAGGGAGUAAAGUUAAUACCUUUGCUCAUUGACGUUACCCGCAGAAGAAGCACCGGCUAACUCCGUGCCAGCAGCCGCGGUAAUACGGAGGGUGCAAGCGUUAAUCGGAAUUACUGGGCGUAAAGCGCACGCAGGCGGUUUGUUAAGUCAGAUGUGAAAUCCCCGGGCUCAACCUGGGAACUGCAUCUGAUACUGGCAAGCUUGAGUCUCGUAGAGGGGGGUAGAAUUCCAGGUGUAGCGGUGAAAUGCGUAGAGAUCUGGAGGAAUACCGGUGGCGAAGGCGGCCCCCUGGACGAAGACUGACGCUCAGGUGCGAAAGCGUGGGGAGCAAACAGGAUUAGAUACCCUGGUAGUCCACGCCGUAAACGAUGUCGACUUGGAGGUUGUGCCCUUGAGGCGUGGCUUCCGGAGCUAACGCGUUAAGUCGACCGCCUGGGGAGUACGGCCGCAAGGUUAAAACUCAAAUGAAUUGACGGGGGCCCGCACAAGCGGUGGAGCAUGUGGUUUAAUUCGAUGCAACGCGAAGAACCUUACCUGGUCUUGACAUCCACGGAAGUUUUCAGAGAUGAGAAUGUGCCUUCGGGAACCGUGAGACAGGUGCUGCAUGGCUGUCGUCAGCUCGUGUUGUGAAAUGUUGGGUUAAGUCCCGCAACGAGCGCAACCCUUAUCCUUUGUUGCCAGCGGUCCGGCCGGGAACUCAAAGGAGACUGCCAGUGAUAAACUGGAGGAAGGUAGGGAUGACGUCAAGUCAUCAUGGCCCUUACGACCAGGGCUACACACGUGCUACAAUGGCGCAUACAAAGAGAAGCGACCUCGCGAGAGCAAGCGGACCUCAUAAAGUGCGUCGUAGUCCGGAUUGGAGUCUGCAACUCGACUCCAUGAAGUCGGAAUCGCUAGUAAUCGUGGAUCAGAAUGCCACGGUGAAUACGUUCCCGGGCCUUGUACACACCGCCCGUCACACCAUGGGAGUGGGUUGCAAAAGAAGUAGGUAGCUUAACCUUCGGGAGGGCGCUUACCACUUUGUGAUUCAUGACUGG
rnacentral:rRNA from 1 species